AAUAUUUUUGCCAUUCAUCGGUCAAUAGUUUUUGUAUUUAGGUUAAGAUUGGCUGGAAGCCCGUUUGGACGAUGUGUGGGCCUUGACUCAGUUAGCCAUGCUGCUUUGAGGCUUGAAUGUGAUAAAAAACACAAAUGGAUUUGUAAGAGGAAGGAAGAGAAUGACCUUUUUGAUGUCUAUACUGAUCAAUUUUUGUCUGGACCAUUAGAACCAGUAUUUUAUACUACUCUGUCCAGUGCUCUACUCGACUGCUUAAAGCAACCAAACUGCACAGGGAUAGUGCAGGAUUACCAAUACUUCAGAAGAACAAAAGGCAUUAAUAUAAUUAUUUCUUAUGAUGAAACUGCAACUUCAUUUGUGAGACGAGAGUGUAAUUUCGGUUACUAUGGUUAUAACUGUGCCUCAUAUUGUAAGAAAUGUUAUGGAGGAUUCAGAUGUAAUUCAGUCACUGGUCAGUGCCCUGAAAGAAUGCACUGUAUAGGCCGAUUUAAAGGAGAACUGUGUGAAUUCGGUACUGUAUUAUUACUAAAAAUGUUAUUUAUAUAUUUAUUUCUCUUUAUGACAUAAAAUAAACAUAAAUUUAAUCUUUGGAAAGGGUCUGUUUAUUUUAUGGAAAAGCCAUUUGCUAAUUGUGGAGUUCUGUAGACUCUCUUGAAUUAGAUCAAUUUAAAGAAAAAGUUAAGCGUAUUUCUGCUGGACUUCACUGCUCAAGUAGAUCAAAGACCAUAUUAAAAGAUUUGCUUAAAUGGCUAUUUCUCCCUUUCACUCUUUCUUCAUUCAUCAACAGCCAUAGGUGCUGUAACUCUUUUCUACUCAGUCUUUUUGUUCAUUUGCAUUUCUUCAAGAGAAGAACUGCACAUCAUGAGACCCAAUUGCAGCCUUCUUUGCCUGCAGCUUUCAUUCAUAAGGUGAAUUCUGCUUUAAGAUUGCAUAGAGGGCCAUCCUUGCAGUCUUUCCCACAAAAGCCCUCAUAGUAAACGAUUGAUGGGCUGCGACCUGAAAAUUAGUAUCUACUUUCAUGAGGCACCACAAACUAGAUCCUUUUGUCUUUGCAAAGCAACUUUUAGCAGAUGGAGCCUCCAAUAUGUGAAUAAAAAAGAGAACGUGUGACACCAAAAUUCCUCACCCUGGUUUGGGGAGCUCUGAUAUAUUCUGUCUGAGGAUGCGUACUCUUCACAAACAGAAUAAUAUUGGUUCUUACCUGUAAGAUUUUUAUUUCUAGCAAUAAGGAUGAACAUCUUCCCUAUCCAACAUCUUUUGUAUAAUAAACAUCAGACUAUGUGAAGCUAUCCUCAUUUUGUCAUCUGUUUUCAUUUUUCCUAAAUUUAUUUCUGUCUACUAGUUGUUUUGCAGGGUUCAGUCUUGUCAAAGAUAGCAAUGUCUUUGCUUUGUGGAAGGAAUCUGGAAUUUUUGGAUUAUUGGCCUUGUUGAUUCUUGACUGUACCUUAGACUCCUGUAUUUUGGAUUCUGUCUUGGACCUUGGACUCUGCUAUUUUUGUACUGCUGGCUUUAUUGACUUUAGACUGGAAUUCUGGUUGGUGUGUGUGUGUAUGUAUGCUAAAACUAUAAGCCAGGGGUCCUCAAACAUUUUAAGCAGAGAGCCGGUUCACAAUCUCUCAGACUGUUGGGUGACUGUAUUAUAGUUUUUUUAAAAAAUGAAUAAAUUCCUAUGCGCACUGCACUCAUUUUAUUUGUAGUUUAAAAAAACAUGAAGGAAAAAUAAAAUAUUUAAAAUGAAGAACAAUUGUAACCAACAUAAACUUACCAGUAUUUCAGUGGGAAAGUGGCCCUGCUUUUGGCAGAUGAGAUAGUCGUGCUAAUUAGGAUUGUGUGCCUUCAAGUUCUUUAAGAUACAGGGCGACCCUAAGUCUAAAGUUUAGGGUGGAUAAAUGACCUUGGAGGUCCACAUCCGGCUUGUGGGCCUUCGAGGACUCUUAACACUUGACCUGUCUGUUAAAAUAUUGGGACCUUGUUUGAGUUUUCUGUUGUUUGUUUAACUAGGACAUGGCAAAACACAGCACAACUCAUCAGUGACCACCAACAGGCACAAAAUUACUGGUGAUCAUUACUCAUUAUAUGCAGCGACACUGGCUGGAGCUCAAAAACAAUCAAAUAAGGGGAGAGGAGGGAGCGAUUCCUCCUUCCCACUUCUCCUCUUCCACAUUGCUCUGGCACUCCAGCUGGUAUCAGUGAAUGCGACAAGCAAUGACAACCAGCAAUUUUGUGAUUGUUGUUAAGCUGAGGACAAAAGUGGAAAGGUAAGGGUAGUGAUUCAACAGUUCCCAACAGGGUUCAGUGUUGCUGAGUCCUGUGGACUUCAUCCAGUGACUAGGCCAAUUCAGUGCUGCACAGUACUCCUGCAGGCAGCUCUGAUUCAAAGUAACCAACUCUAGAUCAGCUCUGGGGUAUGUGACCCAUGUAGAUGGGCCCUAAGUUUAAGGUCUUACUGAACAGUUGUAUUCCACAAGCC
ensembl:lncRNA